rnacentral:rRNA from 1 species
GAUGAACGCUGGCGGCGUGCUUAACACAUGCAAGUCGAACGGGAAUUACUUUAUUGAAACUUCGGUCGAUUUAAUUUAAUUCUAGUGGCGGACGGGUGAGUAACGCGUGGGUAACCUGCCUUAUACAGGGGGAUAACAGUCAGAAAUGGCUGCUAAUACCGCAUAAGCGCACAGAGCUGCAUGUCUCGGUGUGAAAAACUCCGGUGGUAUAAGAUGGACUCGCGUUGGAUUAGCUUGUUGGUGGGGUAACGGCCCACCAAGGCGACGAUCCAUAGCCGGCAUGAGAGGGUGAACGGCCACAUUGGGAGUGAGACACGGCCCAGAAUCCUACGGGAGGCAGCAGUGGGGAAUAUUGCACAAUGGGGGAAACCCUGAUGCAGCGACGGCGCGUGAAGGAAGAAGUAUCUCGGUAUGUAAACUACUAUCAGCAGGGAAGAUAGUGACGGUACCUGAAUAAGAAGCCCCGGCUAACUACGUG